UUGACCAUUGCUAAGCAGAGAUCUUAGCAAAGACCGUAGAGCAGAAGAUAACUCAGAAGAUAACUCCUUGAACCAGAUCUCUGCCAGCUCUUCGUUUUCAAAUGUAAACGAGUGAAUGACUUUAUCAUGCGACCCGACGUGCCUGCCCCGGGUGACGGAGCUGUCCUUUUCGAAACUUCCACGUCAAACCUGCGAACGCAUGUGGCGCAGAAACACUUUCACGUAUGGGUCAGAACUUCCUCCCACGUCCAUGGCCGGGAGCUGGGCAGCUUCGAUGAUGCCUACAACCAGCUGCCAUAAGGACAGACAAAGUACAGAGGGUCGUGGUGAGGUUCUGCCAGUGAGUUCCUGCCGCCGACGGGUCUCCCUGUGAGGUUGAGGCUUCAAUCUGACUGAUACCCGUCAUGUCUGAUAAGGCUGAUGAUUGACAGCAAACUUGGAAGUGUCUGAUUGGAGAAAGGGAGAAAAUAACCACGGUUACAGAGAAACAGGAAGCAGGAAUCGCUGGUGUCUGACGGCGACGGCGACGGUGACGUCUCCGGUUUCUGCUGCUCUGGCACUAAGUUGAACACAGCAUGUGCAGAGUGCUGCGUCUGACAAAGGCUGCUGGCAGAGAGAGGGGAGGGUCCUACAGCGGUCAGAGAAACAGCAAGUAUUAAAUAUCUGCAGCUGAGUCAGCAGAGGUCUGACCCGACCCACGCGCCGCCCAGAACCCAAAGACGGACAGGGGGUGACUUCUCCGAGCUGCAGAAACGAGAAAGUCAAAGAACAAACACAGGAACAGGAACAGGAACCGUUUUGAUAGGUUGUCACGGUGACGGUGAAACUCCUCCUGCUGCUGCUGCACAGCCCAUGAAAAAUAAUGAUCAAAAUCAAAACUUCAGUGACGGCAGAGUUCGACUUCUCAAUUAAACACCACAACAACAUAAAGCAGCAGCAGCAGCAGCAGCAGCAGCAGCAGCAGCAGGAACAUCCAGAGUCCCAAAGGAGGAGAACAGUGAGGGAAAACCAGGAUGUGUUUCCGCAGCAAGGAUCAGGUUCCUGCUCCGCUCACCCUGAGGACGAUGCAGGGACGAGGACACGGACGGAGACACUGACAGGAGACGGAUGAAGACACGACCUCUGUAGAAAACCUGCAACGUCAGCAGGUUUUUUUUAACUCUGUCUUUUUGAUGUAAGGACACACACACACACACACUGUACUGUAUUUACAGGUGUAAAAGGGUGAAGGAAAAGGUUCUCAGAGGUUUGUUCUCAGAACUGCAGGUGUCAGUGUUGAGCUGUUACCGUUGAUUUUGUUUUAGAUUGAACUUUAUCAAAUUUAUAAAUUUAAUAAUGUAUCAAAUUCAGAAUUUGUUAACCAAGAAUAGCUUAGAAAUUAGCCAAGUGUAUUUUUUAGCCAAGUCUGGAAAAAUGACAUCAUCGGCGUACUGGUGAAGAAUGCCAAAAAGUCAAUAGAACGUUA